rnacentral:rRNA from 1 species
GAUGAACGCUAGCUACAGGCUUAACACAUGCAAGUCGAGGGGAAACGAUGAGAGAGCUUGCUCUCUUAGUCGUCGACCGGCGCACGGGUGAGUAACGCGUAUCCAACCUGCCUCUGACCAAGGGAUAACCCGUCGAAAGUCGGACUAAUACCUUAUGCAGUCGUCGGAAGUCAUCUGAUGACGACGAAAGAUUUCAUCGGUGAGAGAUGGGGAUGCGUCUGAUUAGCUUGUUGGCGGGGUAACGGCCCACCAAGGCGACGAUCAGUAGGGGUUCUGAGAGGAAGGUCCCCCACAUUGGAACUGAGACACGGUCCACAAUCCUACGGGAGGCAGCAGUGAGGAAGAUUGGUCAAUGGGCGUAAGCCUGAACCAGCCAAGUAGCGUGCAGGAUGACGGCCCUAUGGGUUGUAAACUGCUUUUAUGCGGGGAUAAAGUGAGGGACGUGUCCUUCAUUGCAGGUACCGCAUGAAUAAGGACCGGCUAAUUCCGUG